rnacentral:rRNA from 1 species
AUACUUAGGGUGCAAGCGUUAAUCGGAAUUACUGGGCGUAAGGCGCGCGUAGGCGGUUUAGUAAGUCGGAUGUGAAAGCCCUGGGCUCAACCUGGGAAUUGCAUUCGAUACUGCUUGACUAGAGUAUGGUAGAGGGAAGUGGAAUUUCCGGUGUAGCGGUGAAAUGCGUAGAUAUCGGAAGGAACACCAGUGGCGAAGGCGACUUCCUGGGCCAAUACUGACGCUGAGGUGCGAAAGCGUGGGGAGCAAACAGGAUUAGAAACCCCGGUAGUCC